GGUAAUAUCCAUUACUGAGAUUUCUUUGUUCUGUAAUUUGCUCGAGACUUGUAUGAAGAAAUCUUGAGCUAGAGCGCGCGCGUGUGUGUGUGUGCACUUGUGUUAUGUAUGCACAUUUUUGUGCAAAUGUAUUUCUAAUUACUAUCAAUUUUAAUCCCUUCCCUGUUCUUUUCUAGGGUAACAAAAAUUGUUAGGCAUUAUAA
rnacentral:misc_RNA from 1 species